rnacentral:lncRNA from 1 species
GAUCUUCAAUGGCCAAUGAUUUAAUCAAUCAUGCCUGUGUAAUGAAGCCUUCAUAAAAACCUAAAAAAGGACGGGGUUUGGAGAGCUUCCUGUAAGCGAACCCGUGAAGGUUCCAGGAGGAUGGCGCACCCGGAAAGGGCGUGGAAGCUCCGCGCCCCUUCCCACAGACUUUCCCCCAUCCAUCUCUUCAUCUGGUGUUCAUCGAUAGCCUUUGUAAUGUCCUUAAUAGUAAACCGGAAAACGUUCUUUCUACGUUGCCCAAGCUGGAGUGCAGUGGCCAUUCAACAGGUGGGAUCAUAGCACACCGCAGCCUCAAAUUCCUGGGCUCCAGCGAUCCUCCCAUCUCAGCCUCCCAAGUAGCUGGGGCUAUAGGCAUGUGCCACCACACCCAGCUAUUCCUUCUUAUAGCCAAAUAAUAUUCCAUUGUAUGGAUCAUUUUUUUUCUUUUCUUUUCUUUUUUUUCUGAGAUGGAGUCUCACUCUGUUGCCCAGACGAGUGCAGUGGCACAAUCUUGGCUCACUGCAACCUUCACCUCCUGGUUCAAGCAAUUCUCCUGCCUCAGCCUCCCAAAGUGGAGGAAGAAGAGAAUCACCACAUAUCGUAUUUAGAGGUCCUGCAGAAAGGGCAGAGCGAGUUUCAUGUUUGAGUGCAGCGGAUGCAUGGGCAAAGCAUUACACAGCCGCUCCAUGGAAGUGACAAUGAGCCUUGUCUUUCACACGUAACUCCAGGAACCAGGGGAAACAAAACCAAUUCCACCCAGAGGUACAGACAAAGAAGAGCACCCUCCCAAAGGAGCCCGCAUGAUAAGUGGCCACGGCGAACAUCACUGUGAUCAGUCAGAAAGGCAGGCGAGUUAUUAGCUUAGCCCUGAACCUCCUACUUAAUGUAGAACCAGUGGUGAUGGUUAACAGACCCUGGCUGCAGUGACAAGCCUGGGACCUGCUCGAGGAAAUCCAAUUGAAAAGCAGCCAAGAGGAACAACAAGCUAGAAACAGAUGUUCCAGCUACCAGGAUGUGCACGCAUUUAACCUGAACAUGUAGUUGGGGUGGGAUGGUAGCAUUCGUUUCUAAAUAUAGUGAUUUCACUUCUUCCCCCAUAUAGAUAUUGUCAAGUUUAAUUAUAGCCAUCCACAUUAGUUUUGUCAAAUUUUCAGCAAUUUCUUUAAAAUAAGAAGAUGUCAGAAUGAUAACUGCUAUUAAGGGAAUUCAGGGUGUUUGGUUUAUCUACCCAGUCUUACUAAAACAUUUCAGUUAAAUCAUCCACUCUUAAACUCCAGUCUCAUAGCAAUUAAAAAUUAUCUUUUAAAAAAUUGCCCAAAUGAAAUUCCAACAGUUCAUGUAAUUAUUUGAUUUAAUAUUACCAUGUUAGUAAAAUAUCUUUAAGAUAGUUAUA